UACGGGGGGGGCAAGCGUUGUUCGGAAUUACUGGGCGUAAAGGGCGCGUAGGCGGCCUGCUAAGUCGAACGUGAAAUCCCUGGGCUCAACCCAGGAACUGCGUCCGAUACUGGUUGGCUUGAAUCCGGGAGAGGGAUGUGGAAUUCCAGGUGUAGCGGUGAAGUGCGUAGAUAUCUGGAGGAACACCGGUGGCGAAGGCGACAUCCUGGACCGGUAUUGACGCUGAGGCGCGAAAGCCAGGGGAGCAAACGGG
rnacentral:rRNA from 1 species